AUGAAAGUUGAUGACCAAGAUGCCAUUGUGGUUUAUAGUGAAGAUUCCUUCCCAGGGAGAGAAUGUAAGUGCCAAAGUGAAUCUGUUAGCCCCAAUUACCCAAAGACAUGGUAACUUCCUGCAAUACUGGAAGCUGUGCUUCUUGGGAAAUAACAAGCCACAUAUUUUCACUCCCUUAACUAAGUUUGGUUGGACCAACUACAUCAGAAGUGUUUGAUCACAUCUAGGUGGGAGGCACAUAGGUAAGGAAUAUAUUAGAAUGUAAGCUUGCCUGCCAAGUCCUGUAUAGUCAUGGAAAGGAUGGCAUGACAUGUUUCCCACCCUCUAGAACAGAGCCAGCAGGGCAUAGGCCUCCAAGUAUGUUGAUGAUUGCUGAGCAUGAAGCUUGUUUGAAAAGAAGAUAUAUUUUCUUUCUCUAUUCCUUCCUUCCUUCCUUCCUUCCUUCCUUCCUUCCUUCCUUCCUUCCUUUCUUCCUUUCGCCUCGCCUCGCCUCGCCUUUCUUUUUAACUUUAUGAUCCUCCACUGGGAAAUAUUCACCCUGCCAAGGUUAUUGGGAAUGUCCUCUCUUCAUGGUUAAUGACUCCAUGAUAGUCGGAGACAGCAGGAAUCCUGGAGGCAAGGGUGUGUCCAACAUCUCAGCAAAAUGGUAGAAGCUGUGACCUUCAGGACAGCCCUUAAGGCUCUGGGAAAGAACUCUAAAAACAUGAGUUCAAACUAUAUAAUUUCUUAACUAUGCAAAACUUAAAGAUGCAAUUAUAUGAGGGGCAUCUCAGACAUAAAAGAACAAAGACAGUUGCACUAUGAGCCAGCUGGUCAUAAAGAUAUUAAGGAAGGAGAUAAAGAGAUUUGGGGAGUGGUCAUUGUAGGACAAGAUCCCACCCAGCUAAACAUAUUGUUUAUGUUUACAAAGGCAGGAAGAUUCCUAAGUUAAAGGUCAGCCUGGGAGAGAUAGAGUUUAGGUCUAGGUCCAGGCAUGGUGGACUUUUCAGAACAAUGUCCCACCCAGCUACUUGUUGUAUGUGCUUACAAAGGCAGGCAGAUCACUGAAUUCAUUUGUAGUGUUAAAAUAAAAAUGUGCUUGCUGUCUUUUUCUAAGACUAAGGGGGCUUGGGUCGUGGAAUGAUGAUUUGUGAGAUAAUCAAAGGGGAAUCUGGAACAAAUGUCUGAAUUGAUAUGUAAACAAAAGGCUGGGCCUUGGUCUGUGAGAGGUAAACUAUCUCAAUAAGAUGCCUGGAGAGGGAGAAGGAAACAGAGGAAAAGGUGAAAGAG
rnacentral:lncRNA from 1 species